rnacentral:tRNA from 1 species
GCUGGGCUUUAGCUCAGUGGUAGAGUGUUUGCCUAAUAUGCACAAGGCCCUGGUUUGAUCCCCAGCUCAGCA